rnacentral:rRNA from 1 species
CAACUUUCAACAAUGGAUCUCUUGGUUCUGGCAUCGAUGAAGAACGCAGCGAAAUGCGAUAAGUAGUGUGAAUUGCAGAAUUCAGUGAAUCAUCGAAUCUUUGAACGCACAUUGCGCCCCUUGGUAUUCCAUGGGGCAUGCCUGUUCGAGCGUCAUGU